CCUACGGGUGGCAGCAGUGGGGAAUAUUGCACAAUGGGGGAAACCCUGAUGCAGCGACGCCGCGUGAAGGAAGAAGUAUUUCGGUAUGUAAACUUCUAUCAGCAGGGAAGAAAAUGACGGUACCUGACUAAGAAGCCACGGCCAACUACGUGCCAGCAGCCCCGGUAAUACGUAGGGGGCAAGCGUUAUCCGGAGUUACCGGGUGUAAAGGGAUCGUAGGCGGUUUAGCAAGUCAGAAGUGAAAGCCCGGGGCUCAACUCCGGGAUUGCAUUUGAAACUGUUGAACUAGAGUGCAGGAGAGGUAUGUGGAAUUCGUGGUGUAGCGGUGAAAUGCGUAGAUAUUAGGAAGAACACCAGUGGCGAAGGCGGCUUACUGGACUGUAAAUGACGCUGAGGCUCGAAAGCGUGGGGAGCAAACAGGAUUAGAUACCCGGGUAGUC
rnacentral:rRNA from 1 species